GUUAAGGCAUGACGGCCUGUACCCGAAACCGACACAGGUGGGGUGGUAGAGAAUACCGAGGGGCGCGAGGUAACUCUCUCUAAGGAACUCGGCAAAAUGGCCCCGCGACUUCGGGAGAAGGGGUGCCACCGCAAGGUGGUCGCAGUGAAGAGGCCCAGGCGACUGUUUACCAAAAACACAGGUCUCCGCUAAGUCGCAAGACGAUGUAUGGGGGCUGACGCCUGCCCAGUGCCGGAAGGUUAAGGAAGCUGGUCAGCGCAAGCGAAGCUAGCGACUGAAGCCCCGGUGAACGGCGGCCGUAACUAUAACGGUCCUAAGGUAGCGAAAUUCCUUAUCGGGUAAGUUCCGACCCGCACGAAAGGCGUAACGAUCUGGGCGCUGUCUCGGAGAGAGGCUCGGCGAAAUAGAAUUGUCUGUGAAGAUGCGGACUACGUGCACCCGGACAGAAAGACCCUAUGAAGCUUUACUGUAGCUUGGUAUUGUGCCCGGGCUCUGAAUGCGCAGGAUAGGUGGGAGGCUUUGAUCCAUUGCUUGUGGGUGAUGGUGAGCCACUGGUGAGAUACCACUCUUUCAGAGCUAGGGUUCUAACGGUCACCCGUUAUCCGGGGACCGGACAGUAUCAGGUGGGCAGUUUGACUGGGGCGGUCGCCUCCUAAAAGGUAACGGAGGCGCGCAAAGGUUCCCUCAAGCUGGUUGGAAAUCAGCCGACGAGUGUAAAGGCAGAAGGGAGCUUGACUGUGAGACCUACAAGUCGAACAGGGACGAAAGUCGGCCUUAGUGAUCCGACGGUUCUGAGUGGAAGGGCCGUCGCUCAACGGAUAAAAGUUUCUCUAGGAUAACAGGCUGAUCUCCCCCAAGAGUUCACAUCGACGGGGAGGUUUGGCACCUCGAUGUCGGCUCAUCGCAACCUGGGGCUGAAGUCGGUCCCAAGGGUUGGGCUGUUCGCCCAUUAAAGCGGUACGCGAGCUGGGUUCAGAACGUCGUGAGACAGUUCGGUCCAUAUCCGGUGCACGCGCAGGAAUAUUGAGAGGAUUUCUCCCUAGUACGAGAGGACCGGGAGGAACGCACCUCUGGUGUACCAGUUAUCGUGCCAACGGUAAACGCUGGGUAGCCAUGUGCGGAGUGGAUAACCGCUGAAAGCAUCUAAGUGGGAAGCCCACCUCAAGAUGAGUAUUCCCAUGGCAGAAGCCAGUAAGGUCACGGGAAGAACACCCGUUGAUAGGCUCUACGUGGAAGCGUGGCAACGCGUGAAGCGAAGGAGUACUAAUAGACCGAGGGCUUGACC
rnacentral:rRNA from 1 species